rnacentral:rRNA from 1 species
AUUGAACGCUGGCGGAAUGCUUUACACAUGCAAGUCGAACGGCAGCACGGGUGCUUGCACCUGGUGGCGAGUGGCGAACGGGUGAGUAACAUAUCGGAACGUACCCAGUAAUGGGGGAUAACUAACCGAAAGGUUAGCUAAUACCGCAUACGCCCUGAGGGGGAAAGCGGGGGAUCGAAAGACCUCGCGUUAUUGGAGCGGCCGAUAUCUGAUUAGCUAGCUGGUGAGGUAAAGGCUCACCAAGGCGACGAUCAGUAGCAGGUCUGAGAGGAUGAUCUGCCACACUGGAACUGAGACACGGUCCAGACUCCUACGGGAGGCAGCAGUGGGGAAUUAUGGACAAUGGGGGAAACCCUGAUCCAGCCAUUCCGCGUGAGUGAAGAGGGCCUUCGGGUUGUAAAGCUCUUUCGGCAGGGAAGAAACGGUUCUGGAUAAUACCCGGAGCUAAUGACGGUACCUGAAGAAGAAGCACCGGCUAACUACGUGCCAGCAGCCGCAGUAA